rnacentral:rRNA from 1 species
GACGAACGCUGGCGGCGUGCUUAACACAUGCAAGUCGAACGGAAAGGCCCUGCUUUUGUGGGGUGCUCGAGUGGCGAACGGGUGAGUAACACGUGAGUAACCUGCCCUUGACUUUGGGAUAACUUCAGGAAACUGGGGCUAAUACCGGAUAGGAGCUCCUGCUGCAUGGUGGGGGUUGGAAAGUUUCGGCGGUUGGGGAUGGACUCGCGGCUUAUCAGCUUGUUGGUGGGGUAGUGGCUUACCAAGGCUUUGACGGGUAGCCGGCCUGAGAGGGUGACCGGCCACAUUGGGACUGAGAUACGGCACAGACUCCUACGGGAGGCAGCAGUGGGGAAUAUUGCACAAUGAGCGGAAGCCUGAUCCAGCAACGCCGCGUGCGGGAUGCCGGCCUUCGGGUUGUAAACCGCUUUCGCCUGUGACGAAGCGUGAGUGACGGUAAUGGGUAAAGAAGCACCGGCUAACUACGUG